rnacentral:lncRNA from 1 species
GAGAGCGCGCGGCCGACGUAGGUGGGGUCAGGCAGAAAGUCUUACUCCCUAACUCUGCAGUUCCAAAGAGACGCGUUUUGAGAGGGGUGAUUUUGAGUCGGUCUUUUACUUGUAAAGAAAUACUCUCGGGAAACGUUGGUGUGGACAUUUUGGCGUAUAUUUACGAUGUCUUACUAUCCAAGCCCGGAAUGUCCCACCCUAGGGCGUCGGCAGGUCCACCACCUCUGGCGUUACGAGAAUAACUCGCCCUUAUUCACUACGAGAUCUCUAAUUGAGAUCCCUAGAUAUGAUCCUGCCGGCCAGAGGGUGGGGUCCUUGAGAUAUACACGGGGAGUGUGCCAGUUCCAUGGUGUAAUGAUGGAUUUAUUGCUGGAGCUGAGCCAGUAUUAGGCCUCCGGUUACUUUUUCUCCGCACAUGUCUGUCGCUGCCAACACAGUGUGAGAGAAGUUCUUACAUACUGCCCAAGAUGUGCGUCAGCUAAAUGGUAAAUAUUUAUUGAGCAGAUAUCAUUGCAAGCCUACGAGCUAAUGGCUUAAUUCUGAUCCUCAACUGCCCAGCGUCCGGUGAUAAAAAUAGAAAGGUACUUUUUAAAAAACCGAGAUGUUCCUUCUUAAACCACGGGUCAUUGACCAUCAAGGUGAUAACAUUGACUUUCAGUAUGAUCACACAGCAUAUUUAUUUCUCCAACUGACAUCAUGAUAGGCAUUUUGAGCUGUUCGUGCAGCCUCAAUUAGUAUUCAAGAAAAGGCUGGAUUGGAGCCAGGGG